rnacentral:rRNA from 1 species
UACGAGGGGGGCAAGCGUUGUUCGGAAUUAUUGGGCGUAAAGGGCGCGUAGGCGGUCUGACAAGUCUGAUGUGAAAUCUCUGGGCUCAACCCAGAGUCUGCAUUAGAAACUGUCGGGCUUGAGUAUGGGAGAGGUGAGUGGAAUUUCCGGUGUAGCGGUGAAAUGCGUAGAUAUCGGAAGGAACACCUGUGGCGAAAGCGGCAUCCUGGACCAUAACUGACACUGAUAAGCGAAAGCCAGGGGAGCAAACGGG